rnacentral:rRNA from 1 species
AACAGGAUUAGAUACCCUGGUAGUCCACGCCGUAAACGAUGCUAACUCGUUUUUGGGUCUUUACGAUUCAGAGACUAAGCGAAAGUGAUAAGUUAGCCACCUGGGGAGUACGUUCGCAAGAAUGAAACUCAAAGGAAUUGACGGGGGCCCGCACAAGCGGUGGAUUAUGUGGUUUAAUUCGAUGAUACGCGAGGAACCUUACCAAGGCUUAAAUGGGAAUUGACCGGUUUAGAAAUAGACCUUCCUUCGGGCAAUUUUCAAGGUGCUGCAUGGUUGUCGUCAGCUCGUGCCGUGAGGUGUUAGGUUAAGUCCUGCAACGAGCGCAACCCCUGUUACUAGUUGCUACCAUUAAGUUGAGGACUCUAGUAAGACUGCCUACGCAAGUAGAGAGGAAGGUGGGGAUGACGUCAAAUCAUCACGGCCCUUACGCCUUGGGCCACACACGUAAUACAAUGGCCGGUACAGAGGGCAGCUACCUAGCGAUAGGAUGCGAAUCUCGAAAGCCGGUCUCAGUUCGGAUUGGAGUCUGCAACUCGACUCUAUGAAGCUGGAAUCGCUAGUAAUCGCGCAUCAGCCAUGGCGCGGUGAAUACGUUCCCGGGCCUUGUACACACCGCCCGUCAAGCCAUGGAAGUCUGGGGUACCUGAAGUCGGUGACCGUAAAAGGAGCUGCCUAGGGUAAAACAGGUAACUAGGGCUAAGUCGUAACAAGGUAACC